rnacentral:rRNA from 1 species
CCUACGGGAGGCUGCAGUGGGGAAUAUUGGACAAUGGGGGCAACCCUGAUCCAGCCAUGCCGCGUGUGUGAAGAAGGCCCUCGGGUUGUAAAGCACUUUCAGUGAGGAAGAACGCCUGGUGGUUAAUACCCAUCAGGAAAGACAUCACUCACAGAAGACGCACCGGCUAACUCCGUGCCAGCAGCCGCGGUAAUACGGAGGGUGCGAGCGUUAAUCGGAAUUACUGGGCGUAAAGCGCGCGUAGGUGGCUUGAUAAGCCGGUUGUGAAAGCCCCGGGCUCAACCUGGGAACGGCAUCCGGAACUGUCAAGCUAGAGUGCAGGAGAGGAAGGUAGAAUUCCCGGUGUAGCGGUGAAAUGCGUAGAGAUCGGGAGGAAUACCAGUGGCGAAGGCGGCCUUCUGGACUGACACUGACACUGAGGUGCGAAAGCGUGGGUAGCAAACAGGAUCAGAUGCUCUUGUAGUC